UUUUACUAUUUCCAGGUGCUCCAUCACAAGAUGCUCAUAUGCCUCCUGCAACUCCACAUAUACCAACUGAACUUCCUAUGCCUGAACAUAAUAUAUGGGAUCUGCCUUCUACAUCAAAGCAAAUAAUCACUGCUGCACCUCCCAAUGCGUGUGUUAUAGCAGCAGAACAUAAUUAUUGCAGUAAACAUGGUAUACAACAAAGACGGAAACUUAAAGGAGACAAAAAAAAACUGAAAUCAACUUCAUCGCUGGAGAAUGAAUUAAAGAUUUCAAGAUUCCAAAUGAAGAAUUUAAAAACCGAAAUUAUUCGGUUACGUAAACGGAGUAGUAGUUUGAAAGAAAGAUUAGCCAGCGUUGAUAAAAUUAGCAAUACAAAUUGUUU